GGUUUCGGUGCCGCAGUUAACGCAUUAAGUGCUCCGCCUGGGGAGUACGCACGCAAGUGUGAAACUCAAAGGAAUUGACGGGGACCCGCACAAGCAGCGGAGCAUGUGGUUUAAUUCGAAGCAACGCGAAGAACCUUACCAGGACUUGACAUCCCUCUGACAGUCCCUUAACCGGGAUCUCCCUUCGGGGCAGAGGUGACAGGUGGUGCAUGGUUGUCGUCAGCUCGUGUCGUGAGAUGUUGGGUUAAGUCCCGCAACGAGCGCAACCCUUGUCAUUAGUUGCCAGCAGUUCGGCUGGGCACUCUAGUGAGACUGCCGGGGAUAACUCGGAGGAAGGUGGGGAUGACGUCAAAUCAUCAUGCCCCUUAUGUUCUGGGCUACACACGUGCUACAAUGGCUGGUACAAAGAGAAGCAAGACCGCGAGGUGGAGCAAAUCUCAAAAACCAGUCCCAGUUCGGAUUGUAGGCUGCAACUCGCCUACAUGAAGUUGGAGUUGCUAGUAAUCGCGAAUCAGAAUGUCGCGGUGAAUGCGUUCCCGGGUCUUGUACACACCGCCCGUCACACCAUGGAAGUUGGGGGCGCCCGAAGUCGGUCAGUUAAUAGGCUGCCUAAGGCGAAAUCAAUGACUGGGGUGAAGUCGUAACAAGGUAGCCG
rnacentral:rRNA from 1 species